rnacentral:rRNA from 1 species
ACUUGCAAGUCGAACGAACUCUGGUAUUGAUUGGUGCUUGCAUCAUGAUUUACAUUUGAGUGAGUGGCGAACUGGUGAGUAACACGUGGGAAACCUGCCCAGAAGCGGGGGAUAACACCUGGAAACAGAUGCUAAUACCGCAUAACAACUUGGACCGCAUGGUCCGAGCUUGAAAGAUGGCUUCGGCUAUCACUUUUGGAUGGUCCCGCGGCGUAUUAGCUAGAUGGUGGGGUAACGGCUCACCAUGGCAAUGAUACGUAGCCGACCUGAGAGGGUAAUCGGCCACAUUGGGACUGAGACACGGCCCAAACUCCUACGGGAGGCAGCAGUAGGGAAUCUUCCACAAUGGACGAAAGUCUGAUGGAGCAANCGCCGCGUGAGUGAAGAAGGGUUUCGGCUCGUAAAACUCUGUUGUUAAAGAAGAACAUAUCUGAGAGUAACUGUUCAGGUAUUGACGGUAUUUAACCAGAAAGCCACGGCUAACUACGUGCCAGCAGCCGCGGUAAUACGUAGGUGGCAAGCGUUGUCCGGAUUUAUUGGGCGUAAAGCGAGCGCAGGCGGUUUUUUAAGUCUGAUGUGAAAGCCUUCGGCUCAACCGAAGAAGUGCAUCGGAAACUGGGAAACUUGAGUGCAGAAGAGGACAGUGGAACUCCAUGUGUAGCGGUGAAAUGCGUAGAUAUAUGGAAGAACACCAGUGGCGAAGGCGGCUGUCUGGUCUGUAACUGACGCUGAGGCUCGAAAGUAUGGGUAGCAAACAGGAUUAGAUACCCUGGUAGUCCAUACCGUAAACGAUGAAUGCUAAGUGUUGGAGGGUUUCCGCCCUUCAGUGCUGCAGCUAACGCAUUAAGCAUUCCGCCUGGGGAGUACGGCCGCAAGGCUGAAACUCAAAGGAAUUGACGGGGGCCCGCACAAGCGGUGGAGCAUGUGGUUUAAUUCGAAGCUACGCGAAGAACCUUACCAGGUCUUGACAUACUAUGCAAAUCUAAGAAGAUUAGACGUUCCCUUCGGGGACAUGGAUACAGGUGGUGCAUGGUUGUCCUCACCUCGGGCCGUGAGAAUGUUGGGUUAAGUCCCGCAACAAGCGCAACCCUUAUUAUCAGUUGCCAGCNAUUAAGUUGGGCACUCUGGUGAGACUGCCGGGGACAAACCGGAGGAAGGUGGGGAUAACCUCAAAUCAUCAUGCCCCUUAUGACCUGGGCUACACACGUGCUACAAUGGAUGGUACAACGAGUUGCGAACUCGCGAGAGUAAGCUAAUCUCUUAAAGCCAUUCUCAGUUCGGAUUGUAGGCUGCAACUCGCCUACAUGAAGUCGGAAUCGCUAGUAAUCGCGGAUCAGCAUGCCGCGGUGAAUACGUUCCCGGGCCUUGUACACACCGCCCGUCACACCAUGAGAGUUUGUAACACCCAAAGUCGGUGGGGUAACCUUUUAGGAACCAGCCGCCUAAGGUGGGACAGAUGAUUAGGGGAAGUUCCGUNACCAAGUUCC